rnacentral:lncRNA from 1 species
UUUUAAGUUGUUAAUUAUUAGGGGUGAAGUGAUUAGGCGGGACAUGGAACAGUUACAGCUCACCGAGGACAUGACCCUAGAUAGGAAGGUCUGGAAGAUGCGAAUUACGGCAGAGGAUUAGGGCCAGUUCGGGUCGCUAGUGUAGGGAUUUAAUUGGUGGGGGUGUAUUCCUGUUAUGAUUCCGUAUUCAAUGUUCCGUGUUCCGUAUUCCAUGUUUAUUACGAAUAUGUGUGCUUUCCUCUGCUUUAUAUUCCUGCAUUCAUGCUUUACUCUGUUUUAUAUUCCUUAUGGGUGCCGUAUCUAUGUUAUGUCAUCUGCUUCUGUGCUGUACUAUGUGUUUGUGUGAUAUCUCGUGACUUGAGCCGGGGGUCUUUCGGAAACAGCCUUUCUACCUCAUCAGAGGUAGAGGUAUGGACUGCGUACAUCUUAAACCCCCCCAGACCCCACUUGUGUGAUAUCUCGUGACUUGAACCGGGGGUCUUUCGGAAACAGCCUUUCUACUUUAUCAGAGGUAGAGGUAUGGACUGCGUACAUCUUACCCCCCCCAGACCCC